GGCCCUGGUCAACAGUAGUGUCCCCUUUAUCCUAUGGGCCCUGGUCAACAGUAGUGUCCCCUUUAUCCUAUGGGCCCUGGUCAACAGUAGUGUCCCCUUUAUCCUAUGGGCCCUGGUCAACAGUAGUGUCCCCUUUACCCUAUGGGCCCUGGUCAACAGUAGUGUCCCCUUUAUCCUAUGGGCCCUGGUUAACAGUAGUGUCCCCUUUACCCUAUGGGCCCUGGUCAACAGUAGUGUCCCCUUUAUCCUAUGGGCCCUGGUUAACAGUAGUGUCCCCUUUACCCUAUGGGCCCUGGUUAACAGUAGUGUCCCCUUUACCCUAUGGGCCCUGGUUAACAGUAGUGUCCCCUUUAUCCUAUGGGCCCUGGUUAACAGUAGUGUCCCCUUUAUCCUAUGGGCCCUGGUUAACAGUAGUGUCCCCUUUAUCCUAUGGGCCCUGGUCAAUAGUAGUGCACGACAGAGGGGAUAGGAUUCCAUUUGGGACACUGGCCUCUUGGUCAUGUAUGUGCCUCCUUUAGUAAAUGCUAAAGUUAAAAAACGUCAUAUUGUACAAGAACAACAAUUCAUGUUGAUUGUAAAUGUGUUUGUUCUGCUACCUGAGCUGGUUGUUUUGACUGUGAUGAUGAUGAUGGUGUGUUGUCAGGUUGUUUUUCUACUGUGUUUACGUCCACUGUGUCCCUACUACAGUACAUGGCUCCUGUUAUAGCUGCUGGCAUUGAAUAGGGAAGUCGUUCUGCGUCUCUGUAACAAAUGCCUCCCUAUUCCCUAUUAACUGGGCCCUAUGGGUCGUGGUCAAAAGUAGUGCACUAUGUAGGGAAUAAGGUGCAUUUUGGGAUGCAUCCUCAGUAUGUCCUGCUCCUCAGAGGUCAGAGGUCAGAGGCCUGUUGGGAUGCAUCCUCAAUCUGUCCUGCUCCACAGAGGUCAGAGGUCAGAGGCCUGUUGGGAUGCAUCCUCAAUCUGUCCUGCUCCACAGAGGUCAGAGGUCAGGGGCCUGUUGGGAUGCAUCCUCAAUCUGUCCUGCUCCACAGAGGUCAGAGGUCAGAGGCCUGUUGGGAUGCAUCCUCAAUCUGUCCUGCUCCACAGAGGUCAGAGGUCAGGGGCCUGUUGGGAUGGAUCUUCAAUCUGUCCUGCUCCACAGAGGUCAGUGGCCUGUAUCCUCAAUAUGUCCUGCUCCACAGAGGUCAGAGGUCAGAGGCCUGUUGGGAUGCAUCCUCAAUCUGUCCUGCUCCACAGAGGUCAGAGGUCUGGGGCCUGUUGGGAUGGAUCUUCAAUCUGUCCUGCUCCACAGAGGUCAGGGGCCUGUUGGGAUGCAUCCUCAGUCUGUCCUGCUCCUCAGAGGUCAGAGGUCAGAGGCCUGUUGGGAUGGAUCUUCAAUCUGUCCUGCUCCACAGAGGUCAGGGGCCUGUUGGGAUGCAUCCUCAGUCUGUCCUGCUCCACAGAGGUCAGAGGCCUGUUGGGAUGCAUCCUCAGUCUGUCCUGCUCCUCAGAGGUCAGGGGCCUGUUGGGAUCCAUUCCAAUAGAAGUUUGUCAAUUCAGGAAAUAAACUGAAAUUAUAAUUCAAUAAAUUACAAUUAUUUCUCAAUAAACUGAAAAUGAGAAGCUAUUUAUUUCAGAAAGGUUUUUCGGUUUUAAUUAGGAAUCAGAUGGUGUUAAGAGUCUGAGUUUUCAGAAAGGUAUUUUCUCUGUUGACGCUGUCAUCUAGAUGAUCUGCUGUGUCCAGUUUAACCUCUAGCGUCGAGCAAUCCCGUAUCCGGGAGCGUAAUCAUAGCCUC